rnacentral:rRNA from 1 species
UACGGAGGGGGCGAGCGUUGUCCGGAUUUACUGGGCGUAAAGGGCGCGUAGGCGGUCAGCACAAGUCAGUUGUGAAAUCUCCGGGCUUAACUCGGAAAGGUCAACUGAUACUGUGCGACUAGAGUGCAGAAGGGGCAACUGGAAUUCUCGGUGUAGCGGUGAAAUGCGUAGAUAUCGAGAGGAACACCUGCGGCGAAGGCGGGUUGCUGGGCUGACACUGACGCUGAUGCGCGAAAGCCAGGGGAGCGAACGGG